AGUUCGAUCAUGGCUCAGAUUGAACGCUGGCAGGAUGCUUUACACAUGCAAGUCGAACGGCAGCACGGACUUCGGUCUGGUGGCGAGUGGCGAACAGGUGAGUAAUGUAUCGGAACGUGCCUAGUAGCGAAAGAGGAUAACUACGCGAAAGCGUAGCUAAUACCGCAUGCGCCCUUCAGGAAAAGCGGGGGACCUUCAGGCCUCGCACUAUUAGAGCGGCCGAUAUCGGAUUAGCUAGUUGGUGGAAUUAACAGCUCGCAAGGCGACGAUCCGUAGCUGGAUUUGAAGACGAUACUCCUCGAACUGAAGAGACAUGGAAAAAGACUCCUACAGGGAGGGGCGGCAGUGAAAUUUUGGACAAUGGGGAAACCUGAUCCAGCAUACAUCCGCGUGUGCGAUGAAAGCCUUCAGGUUGUAAAGCACUUUGCAGCAGGAAAAAAGCAGCUGCAGGAUAAUGCCGUGCAACUGACGAUACCUGCAGAAUAGCACCAGCUAACUACGUGCCAACAGCCGCGAUACAAUACGUAGGAGUGCAAGCGUUAAUCAGGAGUACUGGGCGUAAAGCGUGCGCGAGCGGUUCGGAAGAAAGAUGUAGAAAUCCCAGAGCUUAACUUUUGGAACUGCAUUUUUUUAACUACCCGAGCUAGAGUGUGUCAGAGGGAGGUGGGAUUCGCGUGUAGCAGUGAAAUGCGUAGAUAUGCGGAGGAACACCGAUAAGCGAAGGCAGCCUCCUGGGAUAACACUGACGCUCAUGCACCAAAAAACGUGGGAGCAAACAGGAUUAGAUACCCUGGUAGUCCCGCCUAAACGAUGUCAACUAGCUGUUGGGGCCUUCGGGCCGCGUGGCACCCCAGCUAACGCGUAAGUUGACCGCCUGGGAGGUACAGUCGCAAGAUUAAACUCAAGGUGGCCCGAGGGACCACACAAGCAGUGGAUGAUGUGGAUUAAUUCGAUGCAACGCGAAAACCUUACCUACCCUUGACAUGUCUAGGUCGAAAGAGAUUUGGGAGUGCUCGCAAGAGAACCGGAACGCAGGUGCUGCAUAGCUGUCGUCAGCGCACCUUCAUUAAUGUCGUGAGAUGUGAGUUGGUCGCAACGAGCACAACCCUUGUCGUUAGUUGCUACGAAGGGCGCUCUGGUAAGGGCUGCCAGUGACAAACCGGAGGAAGGUGAGGAUGACGUCAAGUCCUCAUGGCCCCGCUAUGGGUGGGGCUUCACGUCGCCUGUGGUCGGGACAAAUUCGCCAACCCGCGAAACCAAUCGAAACCCGAUCGUAGUCCGGAUGCCAGUCUGCAACUCGACUGCGUGAAGUCGGAAUCGCUGGUAAUCGCGGAUCAGCAUGUCGCGGUGAAUACGUUCCCGGGUCUUGUACACACCGCCCGUCACACCGUAAGUGGGUUUACCAGAAGUAGUUAGCCUAACCGUAAGGGCGAUUACCACGGUGGGAUUCACAUGACUAAGUGAAGUCAUGGCUAAGGUAG
rnacentral:rRNA from 1 species